rnacentral:misc_RNA from 1 species
AGAGAAAGAAAAAAAAACUAAAGAGUAGAUCUUCGUGAUCGAGAAGCAUGCAGCGGCAUCUUUGAGAUUGAGAAGCAUGCAGCAGCUGCAGCUUCUUCUUCUCUUCUUCUUUUAGUUCUUUUAAUUUAAUCAAUUUGAUUCAUGAGCUAUUGACUUCGUUUUAAUUGCAUCCACAAAGUGUAGAGCAUGUUCGGAUUUCCAUUUUAGUUGUUUGACAAAAAUGAGAGGGGGCAUGCGGAGAAACAGGGUAUUUUGUUAACAUGCAAAGGAAAAAAUUUAUAUUUUAAUUGAAAACAGAAGUGAUAAACUUAAAACAAUUGGCUAAAAUUGAUA